rnacentral:rRNA from 1 species
UACGUAGGUGGCAAGCGUUGUCCGGAAUUAUUGGGCGUAAAGCGCGCGCAGGCGGUUUCUUAAGUCUGAUGUGAAAGCCCACGGCUCAACCGUGGAGGGUCAUUGGAAACUGGGGGACUUGAGUACAGAAGAGAAGAGUGGAAUUCCACGUGUAGCGGUGAAAUGCGUAGAGAUGUGGAGGAACACCAGUGGCGAAGGCGACUCUUUGGUCUGUAACUGACGCUGAGGCGCGAAAGCGUGGGGAGCAAACAGG